GCCCAGGUGACUCAGUCAGUUAAGUGUCUGACUUCCACUCAGGUCAUGAUCUCAGGGUCCUGGGAUCGAGCCCCACUUUGGGCU
rnacentral:tRNA from 1 species